UUGACCUCAAAUCAGGUAGGAUUACCCGCUGAACUUAAGCAUAUCAAAGCCGGAAGGAA
rnacentral:rRNA from 1 species